rnacentral:lncRNA from 15 species
AUGGCAUUUCUGGCUGGGACCAUGGGUGGAUGGUGGAUAUUUGUUGGCGCUCUGGCAGGGAUCCUCACCGGCCCCCGUGGGAUACAUGGAGCUUGUAUCUACGAGGGAUCGUUGCAUGCGAACAACACAUCAUGGAGACCGCAGUCGUGUCAGGAGUGUACCUGCUACAGCGACGUGGCCAUCUGCAGGCCCACCCACUGCCCCAACCCACAGUGUGACUUCCAGAAGGGCGAGCGUUUGAGGAUUCCUGCCAACAAGUGCUGUCCGGAGUGCAUCUCCUCAUCCCAGGGCUCCUGCCAGUACCAAGGAGUCAUUUAUGGACAUGACAGCCAGUGGAGUCCAUCGUCCUGCACCGUGUGUGUUUGCUCCAGAGAGAGUGUAUCUUGUAAUGCUCAUCCCUGUCCAAGUCUCACCUGCCCUGGGGACCAGAGCUUGUUCACCCCAGCUGGAGAAUGCUGUCCCAAGUGUGGCCGCAGUGGAGAGUCUUGCUCCUGGCAGGGGACUGUGUACAGAGACGGUGAAGAAUGGAAGCCUAGCCUCUGUUCCAGAUGUGUCUGCAGCAACGGGGAAGUCCAGUGCUUAGUUGCAGAGUGUCAGCAAGUAGCCUGCAAACCUCAUGAGAACUUGGUGAUCCAGCCAGGCCAGUGCUGUCCUCAGUGUGUGUCCAACCCCUGUCUGUCUGCUGGUAAACAGUACCAGCAUGGCGAGCAGUGGCAGAAGAACGCCUGCACCACAUGUGUGUGUGACCAGGGCCAGUCUAAAUGCCACACACACACCUGUCGACCAAUAGUCUGUGACAAGGGUCAGACCAAAGUGAAGCGGGCUGGUCAGUGCUGUGAUGAAUGUGCCGCUGCCAAGGGAAGCUGCCUGUACGAGGGUGCAGUGCGUUACCAUGGUGACAUGUGGAACGGCACGGGAUGUGAGUUCUGUGCCUGCAACCGGGGUCAGGUCCUGUGCCAGAGGGCAGAGUGCGGUCGUGUUGAGUGCCCGGAUCGGAGCUCAUUCACCUGCCGGGGAAGUGCUGCCCGGAGUGUUCCUCUCGAUUGCCAGGAGUGUGAAUGCCGUGAGACCCAGGUGACUUGUUAUCUGCGUUCCUGUCCCACCUGCCCAUUGGGCACCCUGGCCAUCAUCCGGGAGGGCAAAUGCUGCCCAGAGUGUCAUCAAGUCCAGUGCCAUGCAGACUGCCUGUCAUGUUCGGGGACACCUGACCAAUGUGAGAGCUGCAGGGACCCAAAGGCCUUCCUCCAUCUUGGACACUGUCUAUCCGUCUGUCCAGCUGGCUACUACGCUGAAGGACGAGUAUGUGCAGCCUGCCAGUCAUCCUGUGCCACCUGUUCCAGCAGGUUGGACUGUCAGUCCUGUGGCUCCCAGCUGCCCCUGCUGAGUGCUGAUGCCGGCCAGUGCCUGGCCUCCUGUCCUCCUGGUUCCUACCAGCACGACCACGCACACUGUCGCCGCUGUCAUGAGUCGUGCUCAGAGUGCCGUGGGCCAAGCCAGCAGGAGUGUGUGUCAUGUUCAGACCCAGCUGCCUUGCUCAAAGACGGGGAAUGUGUUCCCGACUGUGACGCUGGUUUCUACAGUCAAGAAGGCGUCUCCUGUGAUUCGUCCUGUGCCUCCUGUUUCCCUGACAACCCCAAGUGCAUGAGCUGUCUGCCGGGGACCGCCUUGCACCAUGGGAAAUGUAUUUCCCAGUGUCCUGUUCAGCAUUACCUGGACAACUACAGCAGAUGCAGAGCCUGCCAUAGCUCCUGCGCUUCCUGUUGGGGUCCCUCAGUAUCUCAGUGUACCUUAUGUCCAGGUGGGCUCCUUCUCCACCAAGGCCAGUGUGUGGAGGCCUGUGGGGAGGGACUCUACUCCCAGGACAACAGCUGCCACAAUUGUCAUCCCUCCUGUCGUUCCUGCGUGGGACCAUUGGCCUCAGACUGCCUUCACUGUCUUAAACCAGAGGAAGCCCUUCUGCUGCAGUCCAGUCACCUGCAGCACGGAGUCUGCACAGCUGGAUGCCCGGCACACAGCUUCCUGGAUUACAUGCAGACAUGCAGAGAGUGUCAUCCCUCCUGCUGGCUCUGUACUGGGCCAUCUGCGGACAACUGUACGUCCUGUCCCUCCCCAACCAACCUGCAUGAGGGCCGCUGUGUCCCCAGCUGCCCGCAAGGCUUCUUCACCCAGGAUAACCAAUCAUGCCACCCGUCCUGCCAGACUUGCUCCGGUCCCUCCCAAGCCGACUGCACCUCCUGUCCCCCAUUGGCGUCCCUACAGAGUGGCUACUGCAGGACGAGCUGUGAAGACGGACAUUUCCUCAACGCUGUCACUGGAGAGUGCCUCAAGUGUAGUUCAGACUGUCAGCGCUGCACAGCAGACCUCCAGACGGGCAUCGGCAGUGUUUGUCUGUGGUGUAAAGUGCCAAGGACCUUGCUGCUUGGCGAUCACUGCGUCUCCCACUGUCCCCGUGGCCACUACGGCUGGCACGGAGCCUGCAUCAGAUGCCAUCCGUCAUGUGGUGCCUGCAGUGGGGCGGGGCCUCUCUCCUGUACUUCCUGCCCCACCAACAGUGCUCUUUUGCCCUCGGGUCUUUGUGCUCCCAAAUGUCCCCUUGGUUACUAUGACAAUGGCCACAGGAUCUGUCAGGCGUGUGACAACCAGUGCCUGACGUGCGACAUGGCCGGAGUUUGUAUGUCCUGCCGCGACCCAGCCAAAGUCCUGCUGUUUGGAGAAUGCCAAUACGACAGUUGCGCCCAUCAGUACUACCUCAAUGCCACGACCCGGGCAUGCAGAGAGUGCGACUGGAGCUGCAAUGCCUGUAAAGGCCCCCUGCGUACAGACUGUCUGCUGUGCAUGGAGGGAUACGUGUUGCAGGACGGAGUGUGCACCCAGGGGUGCUCCCCUGGCUCCUAUCAGGAAGGAGACAAAUGCCUCGGCUGUGAUGAUCACUGUGUGGAGUGUCGGGGGCCCGGACAGUGUCAGCAAUGUCAGCCUCCCUACGCCACCCUGCAGGGUCAGUGUGUGCUUGAAUGUGGCAGAAACUACUUCCUGGACUCCUCCUCCCAAGUCUGCAAAUCUUGCUCCUCUGACUGUGUGCUGUGUGACGGGGUCGGGCACUGCAGAGCUUGUCGUGACCAAACCUACCUCAUGGAAGGAUACUGCACACCAGACUGUGGACAAGGAUACUACGCUGACCAGAAGACCAGGACUUGCCACGUGAACACACACCCCCCUGCCCUCCAGGUCAUCGGUUCUCUGCUGGUUCCCCUUGGUGGUUUUAUCCCGCUGCCCCCAACCCUGCUGCAGGUGAAGGACCCUGACAGUCCAUCUGACCGGCUGAUCUUCCAACUCGUUCAGGGCCCGAGUAACGGACGGCUGAUCCUGUUCAGAGGGAAGGAAGGAGCAGUGAAAGGAGGCCAAGGGAAGUCAGGCCGAGAACUGACCAUGGACGACACGUUCACCUGGGCGGAGCUGAGAACUGGCCGCGUCCGGUUCAGCCACCAAAAAGACAAAGCCAGGACUGGCGAGGUCACCUUGCGUGUCGCCGAUCCCCAGCUGUUUUCUCAGCCUGAAACAAUUCAAGUUCAAGCCUUGUCAAUGCAGCCUCCAAGAGUUGUGACUCUUGCUCCUUUAACCGUGGACAGCCGUGGCGCCCUGGCAACCAUCACCAAGUCAGUGCUGCAGGUCGACGACCCCGACAACCCAAGCGAUGUCCUGGUCAUGCUCCUUGAACCUCCCCGCUACGGCCGGCUGACCCGUCUCCACGGUGAUCGAGCACUCAGCCGAUUCAAGCUGGAGGAGUUGUCACGGGAACAGAUCCAGUACAUCCACGACGGCUCAGACAGGAUGGAGGACGGCAUGGUGCUGCAGGUCAAUGAUGGCCACAGCUACAAGAAUAUUCUCCUCCAAGUACACAUCAAUCAGAAGGUUGCUGACUCUCCUCACGUGCUGUCUGUGCCAAUGACCUGGGUAAAAGAAGGAGGCAUGGUACGACUUGACAAAAAAUACCUGCAGACGGAGUACAAGGGAGUCAGCCUUGACGACAUUGUCUACACUAUCGUCGCCUCGGAUGGAGAACCUAAAUAUGGUGAGGUUGUGCUGGUGUCCAUGCCAGCUGACGGCCCAGCAGAAGGGUGGCGGCCCUCGCUAACUGACGACAGAGGCUUCACACCCACAACUUCCUUCACACAACAAGAUGUCAACGACGGCACCGUUUGGUAUCGCCACUUUGGCAGCGGGACCAACGGUGACUCCUUCCAGUUCCAGGUUUCCACAGAAGCAGCCCCAAUCAUACAGAGCGAUGCCCAGACCUUCACCAUAGGAGUCCUGCCUCAGAUUCCAGGAUUCCCCCAGCUGGCCCCCGACUGCGACCUACAGAUCACGGCUCUGGAGGAUCGGGUGACUGAGAUAACACCUUCAGCUCUGUCUUUCGUUGACUCUGAGACUCCCAGCGAGAAGCUUAUCUACAACGUCACUAAAGCCCUUCCGCCAGGACAAGGUGCAAUCGAGCAUCGGGACAGACCGUACACACCGGUGAAACAUUUCACUCAGGCCGACGUCAAUAAUGGCAAGAUCAUCUACAGACCGCCACAGGCCCCUUCACACCUGCAGGAGCUCUACCAGUACUCCUUCAUCGUAGUCUCACACACCAACUUUCAGCUCCUAGGUCCACUGCAUGGACUUAACGUAAACAGGCAAACACACACCACGGUUCACACCUUCUCCAUCCCCUCAGGUGACACCUUCACCUUCAGCGACGUCACCCGCAAUGUUCUGCUCUACCGACACACUGGCCUCUCCACCCAGGACGACGCCAUCACCUUCUCUGUUAGUGAUGGCAUCUCAAUGGCAACCACAGCGGUGCAGGUGGUGGUGUUGGGUGCUGGGGAUGAUGGGCCGCAACGGGACCCAGCAGCCACACUGUCAAUGGAAGUGGGCGAGAAAAGCAGCACUUUGAUCAGGCGCUCGCACCUGGCUUAUACUGACAACACGUCCCCAGACGACCAGAUUCAGAUCCAGUUGGUGUCAGUACCGAUGUACGGCAUCCUGACUAGGAGCCAGUCUCAGCAGGAACACCAGGAGCUGAGGGAGUACUCGUCUUUCACCAUGGAGGACAUCAGCAAGCACAGGAUCAGGUACAUCACUUCCUUAGAGACGGGCAGCCAGCCGGUCACCGACAUCUUCCACUUCGUUGUUUAUGACGGCGACAACAAUCGUCUUGACAACCAGAUGUACACCAUCACCAUCACCUCCACACCCAGACAGCCGCCGGUGGUUACAGUCCGCAGUGGCAUCAAGGUUCAGGAAGGUGGCCGAGUGCAGCUGUCUACCAAUCACAUCAUAGUGUCGGACCUGGACACGCCCCAGAAGGACCUGCUAGUUUGGCUCGUCAGUCCUCCAAAGUAUGGCUUCAUCGAAAACACCAACACAGGUUCAGUUGGCGGCUCGCGAGUCGUCACCCCUGAUGUGCCAUUCUCUGUGGAGGACCUGACGUCAGACCACAUCUUCUACGUCCAGGACAGCCAGCAAAAAUCUCAGGCCAAACAGGACGUCUUCAGCUUCUACAUCAGCGAUGGACACAGCCAGACAGAGGCUUUCAACGUCGAAAUUGACAUCCAGCAGAGUAAAGAGGACAGAGAGCCUGUGGUGUCGGUCAGCAGCAUCCACGUGGAGGAAAACUCUGGAGUCGUCAUUACCAACUCGUCUCUCAGUGUCCUCGACCAGGACACACCAGAGAACGAGAUCCUCUUCACCAUCAUCAGGAAGCCUUCCUACGGCAAACUCCGCAGACGGCUGUUCUACUCUCAGCCACUGGAGAACGGCCGGGUCCUCACACAGGGCUCUACCUUCACCUACCAGGACGUCCUGGACCAGUUGCUGGUCUACACACCUGAAACCGUCAGCGGGGGAGCCGAUGAAAUGGGUUUCACCCUCACCGAUGGCAUCUUCACGUACACGGGCCGUCUGGAGUUCACCAUGGAUGUCAGGAGGAGUGAAGGACCCCGGAUGAACGUCAACAGAGGCCUGCAGCUCCCGGCAGGAUCUUCAUCUAAGAUCACAGAGCAGAAUCUGAAGGGUACAGACAUUGACUCAGACAUCCUGAAGCUCAAGUACAUCUUGACCAAAGACCCUCCAGCCGGCAAACUACAGCUCAGCAAGAACGAACGUGUGGAGAAGAUUUCUGUUAAAGGUCCCAUUCAGAGCUUCACCCAGGACGACGUCAACAAAGGCCUACUGCAGUACAGCCAUGAGAAAGGGGAGAAGGGAGGCAGCCUGUCUUUCAAGUUCAACCUGGUCGAUCCAGAGGGCAACAAACUGAUCGACCAAUCCUUCUUCAUCAGUGUGCUCGAGGAUCGUCUUCCUCCGUCUGUGGUAGUGAACAAAGGCCUGGUGCUGGAUGAAAACACAAUGAAGAAGUUGACCACCCUGCAGCUGUCAGCCAGCGACCAGGACAGCGAACCAAGCGAGCUCAUCUACCGCAUCACCAAACAGACGAGCCUGGGUCACCUGGAGCACGCAGCCAGCCCAGGUACCAGAAUCAGCACAUUCACCCAGGCUGACCUAGCAUCACGCAGCAUCCAGUAUGUCCACACCAGUGAAGAAGAGAAGCAUGCAGAUCAGUUCUCCUUUGUCGUGUCAGAUGGGACAAAUGAGGUUGCCCAGACAUUCUACAUCACCAUCAAGCCAGUGGACGACUCCCUGCCUCUGCUCCAGGUUCCUGGCAUGAGGGUCCAGGAAGGGGUGCGAAAAACCAUCACUGAAUUUGAGCUGAAAGCCACUGAUGCAGACACUGAGGCGGAGUCCAUUGUCUUCACUGUUGUCCAGGCUCCUCGACAUGGCACCAUUGAGCGCACAAGCAACGGCCAACACUACCGGCAGACCAGCAGCUUCACCAUGGACGACAUCUACCAGAACCGCAUCAGCUACAACCACGAUGGCUCCAACUCGCUCAAGGACCGCUUCACCUUCACUGUGGCUGAUGGCACCAACCUGCUCUUCAUGGUGGAGGAGGGCAGCAAGGAGAUCAUCACGGCUGCUCCACAGAAGUUCAAGAUCGAUAUUCUGCCAGUUGACGAUGGCACGCCACGUAUUGUCACCAACCUGGGACUGCAGUGGCUGGAGUACAUGGAGAACAAGGCCACCAACCUGAUCACCAAGAAGGAGCUGCUGACCAUGGACCCGGACACAGAUGAUGGACAGCUGGUUUAUGAAAUCACCACAGAGCCAAAGCAUGGCUUCCUGGAGAGCAAGCUGAAACCUGGCAACACCAUCACCACCUUCACACAAGCUGAUAUCAAUCUGGGUCUGAUCCGCUACGUGCUGCAUCAGGAGAACGUUCAGGAAACCAUGGACAACUUCAAGUUCCUGGUCAAAGACAGCAAACCAAAUGUGGUCAGCGACAAUGUCUUCCACAUCCAGUGGUCACUCAUCAGCUUUGAGCACAAAAGCUACAAUGUGAGUGAGAAGGCAGGCACGGUGGCCGUGACGGUGAAGCGAACAGGUAACCUCAACCAGUACGCCAUUGUGCUCUGCCGUACUGAACAGGGCAGCGCCACCUCCACCAGCAGUGUCGGAUCCCGUCCAGGCCAGCAGGACUAUGUGGAAUAUGCUGGACAGGUACAGUUUGAUGAGCGCGAGGACACCAAGGUGUGCACCAUAGUCAUUAAUGAUGACAAGGUGUUUGAGGGAAGGGAGAACUUCCACGUGGAGCUGAGCAUGCCUGUGUAUGCGCUGUUGGGUGGAAACACGCGUGCCAUCGUCAACAUCAACGAUACUGAGGACGAACCAACUCUGCAGUUUGAUAAGAAGACCUACCACGUCAACGAGAGCACGGGCUUCAUCCACGCACCCAUCGAGAGAAAAGGUGACACCUCCAGCACCGUGUCUGCUCUCUGCUACACCGUGACCAAGUCGGCUCAGGGCAGCAGCCUCCACGCUCUGGAGUCCGGCUCUGACUACAAGAGCCGCGGCAUGAGCAACGACAACCGUGUCAUCUUCGGCCCCGGCAUCAGCAUGUCCACCUGUGACGUUAAGCUCAUCGACGACAGCGAGUACGAGCUGUCUGAGGAGUUUGAGCUGGUGCUUUCAGAUGCUUCGGAUAACGCUCGCAUGGGGGACGUGACGGUGGCCAAGGUCGUCAUCGAUGGACCCAAUGAUGCAUCCACUGUUUCUCUUGGGAACGCCACCUUUACUUUCAGUGAAGAUGCCGGCACAAUUGAAAUACCAGUGCUGCGCCAUGGCAGUGACCUGUCGUCUGUUACCUCUGUGUGGUGUGCCACCCGGCCUUCAGACCCCCCCUCAGCCAGCCCGGGGGUCGACUACAUCCCCAGCUCCAAGAAGGUGGAGUUCAAACCUGGUAAAACUGAGGAGACCUGCAGUUUAACCAUCAUGGAUGACAUCCAGAACCCGUCCAUUGAAGGAUCUGAGUCUUUUGUGGUGUUCCUCAGUUCUCCUCAGGGUGCUGUCCUCCAAGAGCCCUACGAAGCAAACGUUGUCAUCACUGACACCUUCCAGGACAUUCCCAGCAUGCAGUUUGAGAAGAGCGUCUACACUGUGAAGGAGAAAGACCGUGUCCUCCACAUCCCCAUCUUCCGCACAGGUGACCUCUCCUUCAAGUCAUCAGUACGUUGUUUCACUCGGACCAUGUCAGCCAUGGUGAUGGAUGACUUCGAGGAGAGGAGGAAUACCGACGAGUCGCGCAUCACUUUCCUCAGAGGAGAGAAGGUGAAAAACUGCACAGUUCACGUCAAUGAUGACUCUGUAUUUGAGCCCGAAGAGGAGUUCCAGGUGCACCUUGGGACACCGCUGGGUGACCACUGGAGUGGGGCCAUGGUGGGCGCUAGCGACAUUGUCACCAUCACCAUCACCAAUGAUGAAGAUGCGCCCACCAUUGAGUUUGAGCAGGCGUCCUACCAAGUCAGAGAGCCUCCCGGUCCGGAUGGCAUUGAGGUGCUUAACAUCAAGGUGAUACGUAGGGGGGAUCUGGACCGGACCUCCAAGAUCCGCUGCAGCACCCGAGAUGGAUCAGCCCAGUCUGGAGUGGACUACAAUCCCAAGAGCCGAGUGCUCAAAUUCACCCCUGGGAUGGACCACAUCCUGUUCAAAGUUGAGAUUCUGUCCAAUGAGGACAGGGAGUGGCACGAGUCCUUGUCAUUAGUCCUUGGCCCUGACGACCCUGUGGAGGCGGUGCUCGGGGAGAUCACUAUGGCGACGGUGACCAUUUUGGACCAGGAGGCCUCAGGCAGUCUCAUCCUCCCUGCCACGCCUAUUGUGGUCUCUCUUGCUGACUAUGAUCACGUCCAAGAGGUGACCAAGGAAGGCAGUAAGAAGACACCCUCUCCAGGUUACCCUCUUGUAUGCGUCACCCCCUGUGACCCUCAUUACCCCAAGUACUCUGUGAUGAAGGAGCGCUGCGAGGAGGCGGGCAUCAACCAGACCCAAGUUCACUUCUCCUGGGAAGUCGCGGCGCCCACUGACACCAGUGGUGCCCGGUCCCCCUUCGAAACAGUCACAGACACCACCCCAUAUACCAGCGUCAACCAUAUGGUCCUGGACAGUAUUUAUUUCAGCCGUCGCUUCCAUGUCCGCUGCGUUGCUCAAGCUAGGGAUAAGGCGGGUCACCUUGGAACACCACUGAGGAGCAACAUCGCCACCAUUGGCACAGAGGGCUCCAUCUGCCACACGCCUGUUACCACGGGAACCGCCAGGGGCUUCCAGGCUCAGUCCUUCAUCGCCACACUCAAAUACCUGGACGUCAAGCACAAGGAGCACCCCAACCGAAUCCAUAUCUCAGUGCAGAUCCCCCAUCAGGACGGCAUGCUCCCACUGGUGUCCACCAUGCCGCUGCACAACCUGCACUUCCUGCUGUCAGAGUCCAUCUAUAGACAGCAGCACGUCUGCUCCAACCUGGUUACCCUCAAAGACCUGCAGGGUGUCUCCGAGACAGGUUUCCUGGACGAUGUAUCUUAUGACAGCAUCUCUCUGGGGCCGGGUUAUGACCGCCCUUACCAGUUCAACCCCAACGUGCGGGAGGCCAAGAGCAUCCAGCUCUACAAGCACCUCAACCUCAAGAGCUGCAUCUGGACAUUUGACGCCUACUACGACAUGACUGAGCUCAUCGACGUCUGCGGGGGCUCCGUCACCGCCGAUUUCCAGGUUCGGGACUCGGCGCAGUCCUUCCUGACGGUGCAGGUUCCUCUCUACGUGUCUUACAUCUACGUGACAGCACCGAGAGGCUGGGCCUCUCUGGAGCAUCACACCGAGAUGGAGUUCUCCUUCUUCUACGACACCGUGCUCUGGAGGACAGGUAUCCAGACUGACAGCGUCCUCUCAGCCAGACUGCAGAUCAUCAGGAUCUACAUCAGAGAAGACGGACGACUGGUGAUUGAGUUCAAAACCCACGCAAAAUUCAGAGGUCAGUUUGUCCUUGAACAUCACACUCUGCCAGGCCACAAGUCCCACCUGAUGGCUCCUGACCACCUCGGAGGCAUCGAGUUUGACAUUCAGCUGCUCUGGAGCGCUCAAACCUUUGACUCACCGUACCAGCUGUGGAGGGCCACCAGCUCUUACAGCAGGAAGGACUACUCUGGAGAGUACACCGUCUUCUUGAUCCCAUGCACUGUCCAGCCCACUCAGCCCUGGAUCGAUCCCGGCGACAAACCUCUGUCCUGUACCGCUCACGCUCCAGAGAAGUUUCUAGUGCCGAUCGCCUUCCAGCAGACCAACCGGCCUGUUCCUGUUGUUUAUUCCCUCAACACGGAGUUCCAGCUGUGUAACAAUGAGAAGGUGUUCAUGAUGGACCCCGCCACAACUGAUGUCUCUAUGGCAGAGAUGGACUACAAGGGAGCGUUCUCAAUGGGUCAGACUUUGUAUGGAAGGGUGUUGUGGAACCCCGAGCAGAACUUGAACGCAGCCUACAAACUGCAGCUGGAGAAGGUUUACCUCUGCACUGGAAGGGACGGAUAUGUUCCCUUUUUUGAUCCCACAGGGACGCUGUACAACGAGGGGCCACAGUAUGGCUGCAUCCAGCCCAACAAGCACCUCAAACAUCGCUUCCUACUGCUGGAUCGUAAACAACCUGACGUAUGUGACAAAUUUUUCCACGAUGUUCCCUUCGAGGCUCACUUAGCCUCAGACAUCCCAGAUCUGCAGUCCAUGACAGCCAUGCCGGGUGUUGAUGGCUUUACAAUGAAGGUUGAUGCUCUCUACAAGGUGGAGGCGGGUCACCAGUGGUACCUGCAGGUGAUUUAUGUGAUCAGCCCAGAGUCACGGUCCAGUCCCAGGAUUCAGCGCUCGGUGACGUAUGAGCUGAGCCGCCCUAAGCGUGACCUGGUGGAUCGCAGCGGGCGCCUGACGCUGGAUGAGUCGCUGAUCUACGACAACGAGGGCGACCAGGUGAAGAACGGUACCAACAUGAAGUCGCUCCGUCUGGAGGCCGGGCCCUCUGCCACCUUUAACGCCCACGUGGGCAGUUCGGUGGGCGGGGGAGUGGCCGCCGUGACCCUACUGGUCCUGGUCCUGCUGGCCUCCUGCUUCCUGUUCCGCCGCUGCCGACGGUCGGCCAAGAAGAAGAGCAAGAAGGCUCAGAAAGUGUACGAGGAGUACCCGCUCAACACCAAGGUGGAGGUGUGCAUGGACAAGUGUGUGGAGAAGAACUUCAGCACCAAACACUGCACCGUGAGGAACGUCAAUAUCCUCAACCGCAACCAGGAGCCCAACAGCAAGGCCAAGGUCAAACAGGUCAACCUGGAGGUCAAACUCCACAACAACCUCAACGACGGCACUGAGGUCUGAAACACUGGUGAGGAAGAGUAGGAGAGGAGGAGAUGGAGAGGAGGAGCAGGACGGAAAAAAAGGUAUUUUCUAAAAGAAAGUUUGUACUUAUGGAACGAGAUGUUUGUUAAUGUAUUUUUAUACCACUUUGAAAAAGGGAAGAGUGAGACAUGCAGAAAGCUACGCAGAGUUUUAAUCAUUUUGCAACUGGGCUACCUCAGGAAUCCACAAAACCACUCAGCUGCGUGAAACCGCCAAAACAUCUGCAUCUGAUCAUCCAAACUCCAUCUGAAACUGCUGUCCAUUGCAUUACUGUGUAACUUGACAUUUACGUCCUUUUUAGCACCAAGAUGGUGACUGGUAGCUCAGACACUGGUGAUUGUUUGACAAAAACACUUCUCUGCUGCAUUGAGUCAUUUCACUGCUACUAAAUGUCACUACUAUAGAGUGGAAGCCAGUGUAGAAGUCCUCCUUUUCUGCAUAUAUCUUUAUCAUUUACUGUUUCUGCUGAUAAAUUAACUCAAAAGACUCUGAUUAAACAGAACAAAGUUGAAUUUUCCUGUGGAGCGACUUGUACACCAGCUACAGCUGCUUCUGACUGCUGUGAAAGUAUUAAGCACAUAGAGUGUGCUGCUAUCGCUCGAGGGCGAAUGAGUGCAGAGUGUAAAUAAUAACAAAAAUGAAUGAUACCUAUUCAAGUGCAAUUAUGCCAUAGCUUUUGUUAAUCCUUCCCUCAUGAGCAGGAACUUUAUUUGCAUUUAAAAGAAACUUGUAUUUCAAGCCUUACAUAGAGACAUUUGUACUGUCAAGUUGAACAAACAGAUAAUUAUUCUUGUUUCAACACAAAAACAUAUUUUUUUGUUUGUACUGUACACACAGCUGCCAAUAUUAAGUGCCAUGCAGUAUUUUUCCUCAUGAAUUUCAAAACUAAUCAUCCAAAGUGUUUUUUUUUUCUUUUUCAAGAGUGAGAAAAUUUCCAUGUGAUUGUAAUAAACCAGACGCCACCGUUUGGACA